rnacentral:misc_RNA from 1 species
GAUGAAGAACGCAGCGAAAUGCGAUAAGUAAUGUGAAUUGCAGAAUUCAGUGAAUCAUCGAAUCUUUGAACGCACAUUGCGCCCAUUAGCAUUCUAGUGGGCAUGCCUGUUCGAGCGUCAUUUCAACCCUUAAGCCCUGUUGCUUAGCGUUGGGAGCCUACAGUACUGUAGCUCCCCAAAGUUAGUGGCGGAGUCGGUUUCACACUCUAGACGUAGUAAUUUUUUCUCGUCUGUAGUUGAGCCGGUCCCCUGCCGUAAAACACCCAAUUUAUCCAGGUUGACCUCGGAUCAGGUAGGAAUCCCCGCUGAACUUAAGCAUAUCAAUAAGCGGAGA